GAAUGGAACAAUAAAUCUAAAAAACACGUCGAGGAAGUUACAAUACUAAGUAAAAGUUAACUAAAGUGUUUUAAACGCAAUACUGCCGAAAAAUAUGCUAUCUACCGCCUCCAUGUCACAGCACAACCAACAUGCACGCCAUUACUGAAUAAGCAUGCGUGGAAAACUGUUGAACUACGUUAAAAACACCAUUGGUCCAGCUAUCUGCAAUGUGCAUGCGGCCAGUACGUACGCUGUUAGCACUUGAGGUAUUUCACAAACAGGCGGCUUUUCUUAACACGUUUCUGUACCACAGAAUAAAUAAUUCAAAUAUAUUUCAUUCGCCAACGGAUUCAAAAUCGUUUGUUCACGCAUGAAAACAAAAAUCCCACUUUUUUGUGCAAACUGUAUCAAAGUAGGCUACUGUUCUCCGAUCCUUUGGUAACGCAUGCCAUUCUCAAUAUCAAAUCACAUAUGUAAGGUAGACCUGAAGUUGUGCCUGUGCUUGAGGUAUGGAGACAUGGACGAUUCCACAUACAUAUGUUUAACUCUGGAACUAAAAAAGUGAGUCAGAAGAUGGCUGUCUUCUGAGACCUCUGAAACUUUGGUAAACUACCAGACUACAGGCAUCUUAUGAUUCCAGAGGCUGCAAGUUUCCAUUACAUGUAGCUUGUAGCAUAAGAACAUAUGCCUCAAUAUUUAGGUUUUCUUCCUGCUGUAACUAAUGGACAAUGCACUAUGUUUAAUGUCAACAAACACACUCAGGUAGAUACAUAAUGAUUUUCAGUGCUGUAUCAUGUAUAGUGGCCUGACUUACCUAAGGAGAGACUGAAAAUUGUGGUCAGGUCUCCGAGAAAGACCACUAAGUUAUAACAGAUGAUAUUUGGCAUAUGUUUAUUAUUUGUGUACCAUUUAAUGCCAGGCCUGUAAACAUUUUUCACUCCUAAAAUUUUAACAAAGUUGUCCACUAACAAUUUUUACUAAAAUUUAAAUAUAAUUAAAGCUACAAACUUUUCAGUAUCAACUCAACCAGGACUGCAUAGCACUUUAAUGCACGCCACUCCCUUUUUCUGAACAACCUUGGUAAACAAAAGCAUAUCAACCAGUAUUAAAGUUACAUGGAUACUGUCACACAACUAUACAAAUGUUUACUUCAAUUACAGCAGUAAAAUGUUUACACUACAUAUUUCAGCAACUCGCCAUCUUUGCACGCUCAGAUGCAUGGAAUGUCAAUGAUAUAUACUAAAAUAUAUAAAUCACAUAAUGGAUAGGCGACACAAUGACAUUCCACGCAUCUGAGCACCUGAAGGUAGCAAGCUGUUAGAGCAAGUAGUGGAAACAUUUUGCUACUGUAAUUGAAAUGAAUAUUUAUAUCAUUGUACUGAUGGUAUCCAAAAACAUUAAUGAGUAAUAUACACAACAGGAUGUCACCUAUUAAGAAUAUCAAUUAGCAGUCAGUUUUCUCUUCUGUCACAGUGAACUCAGCUGUUUUUAGAUUACAACCAUGAAAGAAUUAAAAAGACUGAACUGUUUAUGUAGCAACCUUAUUUGUAGUGAAUAAAAAAGAACAGAACUA